CCUACGGGCUGCAGCAGUGAGGAAUAUUGGUCAAUGGACGAGAGUCUGAACCAGCCAAGUAGCGUGAAGGAUGACUGCCCUAUGGGUUGUAAACUUCUUUUAUAAAGGAAUAAAACGAGGCACGUGUGCCUUUUUGCAUGUACUUUAUGAAUAAGGAUCGGCUAACUCCGUGCCAGCAGCAGCGGUAAUACGGAGGAUCCGAGCGUUAUCCGGAUUUAUUGGGUUUAAAGGGAGCGUAGAUGGGUUGUUAAGUCAGUUGUGAAAGUUUGCGGCUCAACCGUAAAAUUGCAAUUGAUACUGGCAGUCUAGAGUACAGUUGAGGUAGGCGGAAUUCGUGGUGUAGCGGUGAAAUGCUUAGAUAUCACGAAGAACCCCGAUUGCGAAGGCAGCUUACUAAACUGUGACUGACAUUGAUGCUCGAAAGUGUGGGUAUCAAACAGGAUUAGAUACCCGAGUAGUC
rnacentral:rRNA from 1 species